GACGAACGCUGGCGGCGCGCCUAACACAUGCAAGUCGAACGAGCGAGAGGGAGCUUGCUUUCUCGAGCGAGUGGCGAACGGGUGAGUAAUGCGUGAGGAACCUGCCUCAAAGAGGGGGACAACAGUUGGAAACGACUGCUAAUACCGCAUAAGCCCACGGUGCCGCAUGGCACAGAGGGAAAAGGAGCAAUCCGCUUUGAGAUGGCCUCGCGUCCGAUUAGCUAGUUGGUGAGGUAAUGGCCCACCAAGGCGACGAUCGGUAGCCGGACUGAGAGGUUGAACGGCCACAUUGGGACUGAGACACGGCCCAGACUCCUACGGGAGGCAGCAGUGGGGAAUAUUGCACAAUGGGGGAAACCCUGAUGCAGCGACGCCGCGUGGAGGAAGAAGGUCUUCGGAUUGUAAACUCCUGUUGUUGGGGAAGAUAAUGACGGUACCCAACAAGGAAGUGACGGCUAACUACGUG
rnacentral:rRNA from 1 species